AAAAGUCCGCGGUCACACCGUACUCAACUCUAAUUGCGUGCAUAGCAAAAAAGAAAACAUUAAUUGUUUGUGUUUUUAUUCGCUUGAGCCAACGGGUGUGUUAGUUCUCGCUGAUUAAAGUUAAACAACAAUUAAAGUUAAAAGUGGAAAAGCAGUCAGAUAUCCAAUUUCUAGCGAAAACCGAGCAACAUGUUGCCAGACAAACCAAAUUAUGAGGCGAGAAAAUGGACGUAAUCAUUUAAACAAAAGGCGUGCGUGUGGAAUUCGCAAUCCCAGGCAUCAAUACCCAACCAAUUCGCAAACUGGCGGCUACCCGCUAGUCUGCCGCCCUCCCCACGCAAACACGCGCCCGCUCCCGCAGGCGCACAGACAGAACAAGCAGACGACAGACACCAGCCCCUGCACGAAACAAGCUCUAUCUCCAUUAUGGAGCCCACUGCCGCGGGGAAUCUGCUGGAGAUCAUGGACCUGGCGCGCACUCUCCGCCAGGAGCAACUCUUCAUCCAGCAAGAGCAGACGGCCUUUGGCCAGCUGACGGGGGCUCUAGAGACCAAUGCAGGCACCAUAACAAAGUUAGCCUUUGUGUGUGCCCAGCAGAGACAGAUACUGAACGAGCUGCUGGUGGCCAGGAACGAUCACGAUCCUCUGUUGAGCUGCAGACGGGCGAGAGCCUACGACAGUGCCCAGUUUAUGGAUGCCAAGCAGGUGCUGCCGUAUGAGCAUGCCCUGGCCUACGAAUUUACAAAUUUAUUAAAUUUACAUGGGGAAAAAAAACAUGAAUUGCGAAUGGCAUGUUUUUUCGAUGAAAAAAAAAAAAAAUGUUCUACCGAUUUUUCGUUCAACAUAUUUUCACAAAAAGUUGCGGAGGUGCUGCGGAGGAGUUGCCUCCGUCGCAGAUACGGUCGUGGCGGACGUCUAUAAUCAGGAGGUCUUUGUUUUUAUAUUGAGAAAAUGCAUGUGUAAUCCUUAAGCUAGAAAGUUGUACAUUGCGAAUCUCGUGGAUGAAACAAACGGUUUAUUCUUCUGCGUACAUAUUCAUAAUUUGUUUGUUUUUCCUGAUUUCUGGAGGAUUCGACUCAUUCAACUUUAACAGUUGAGGCACGUCCACCGCGCCUUCAUAUAGAUUUUAAAAAAUGUA